AAGUAACACUCUGUGGCAGCUGAUCAAAACUGUCUGACACAAUUUGCACUUGCGAUAGCAAGAAAGUCUAACCUUACAAAGAAACAAACAAAAAAGAGAUCCUAACCUAUUCUGGUGUUUUCUUCUCCCUGAGACAAGUCAUUAUACAGACUAAAAAACA